rnacentral:antisense_RNA from 1 species
CAUCUUCUUUCACCUAUCCUCAGGCAAAAGACGUCCGCUCACCCGUUCCGGUGCCAAAGACUCUUGACU